rnacentral:rRNA from 1 species
AUGGCGGGCGCGAAGUCGUCGGUUCUGCUCGACGUGAAGCCGUGGGACGACGAGACCGACAUGGCCAAGCUCGAGGAAGCCGUACGGAGCGUCGCCAUGGAAGGACUGACAUGGGGUGCAUCCAAGCUUGUUCCGGUUGGGUACGGGAUGAGCAAGAUGCAGAUCAUGCUGACGAUCGUCGACGAUCUCGUGUCCGUCGACGACCUCAUCGAGGACCGUCUCUGCGCCGAGCCAGUCGACGAGUUCGUGCAGAGCUGCGACAUUGCCAGCUUCAACAAAAUAUGUGCGUGCCUAAUCCGGUCGUUCAGAAUAUUUUAG